AUUGAAUGCUGGCGGAAUGCUUUACACAUGCAAGUCGAACGGUAGAGGGGGCAACCCCUCGAGAGUGGCGAACGGGUGAGUAAUAUAUCGGAACGUGCCCAGUCGUGGGGGAUAACGUAGCGAAAGUUACGCUAAUACCGCAUACGAUCUACGGAUGAAAGCGGGGGAUCGCAAGACCUCGCGCGAUUGGAGCGGCCGAUAUCAGAUUAGGUAGUUGGUGGGGUAAAGGCUCACCAAGCCAACGAUCUGUAGAUGGUCUGAGAGGACGACCAGCCACACUGGAACGGAGACACGGUCCAGACUCCUACGGGAGGCAGCAGUGGGGAAUUUUGGACAAUGGACGCAAGUCUGAUCCAGCCAUUCCGCGUGCAGGAUGAAGGCCCUCGGGUUGUAAACUGCUUUUGUACGGAACGAAAAGGUUUCCAUUAAUACUGGGAGCUCAUGACGGUACCGUAAGAAUAAGCACCGGCUAACUACGUGCCAGCCGCCGCCGUAA
rnacentral:rRNA from 1 species